GGCUUCUGAAACAAACAGAGGUGGGGAGAGUGGAGAUGAGAUCUGCUUACCAACCUCUUCACAUCAAGGUCUUUAAGGCUUGAAGAUCUCCAAAGCACUGAAAUGCUUUUAAAGGUUGAGACUGAAAAAGCACAGUUUGCACGUGGUGCUGCAGGGCUCCAGAGAGGAACCAGCUCCUGGCAGACCUGCUGUGGGUGGCUGUAGCUGCCAGGUAACAUGAGCGGACAGGAGCUGGCUGCCUCACUAUCCCCUCCCCUCUCCCAGCUGAUGGCUGUUCAAGGCACCUUCCAGCUGGAUUCCUGUCACAGGGUAGCUGGGCUGUGGUCAGGCUGUGGUGUUAGUGAGUCAAACCCACACCCCACUCCAGCCCAGUCACUUCUUACAAGCUUCUUUUUGCUCCCUGAGUACAAGAGGAAAUCCAGGGAGGUGAUCCAGGGAAAAGGAGGUAACUACAAGCUCCCAGCAGCUCUGGGAGGGCUGGAGAGGAGGUAAGGACCGACUCCUGGGGACUGGGUUGGUUUAGACUGAGAUUGCAACCAGAAAGAUGUUUCCAGCAAAGACAAGCCAUUAAAUUAGCUUCCCAAUCCUGGCUUUCCAGGGGUCAAGUCUUGGCAACCAGAAGGAAUGUUUUCCUGCUGCUGAACACAACCUAACCGUGAGAACCAGCAGGACUGGCAGGCCACCUACCUCGUGGGACAUCCGUCAGGAAGAGGAUGUUGUUGGUGGCGCACCCAAUGCUGGCGGCAAUCCUCCUGUAGCUCUCACUUUCUACCUUGGGGCCUAUUUUGGUAUCGAAGUGGCCAUCAAAGAGCUGAAAGAGAGAGAGAAGCACAGGUCACUGCUGAAUGCCACCUGAAGAGCAGGGCUAAACCUCGCUCCUGAGUGAGCCCUCCCCUUUCCUUUCUACCAUGGGAACCAGGGACCAAUGCAGCCGUGCCAGCAGAGUCAACUGGCUGAGCUUAACUCCCGUGGGUCAAACCCACUCCCCCACCUUCCUGUCCCAGACUUCAUUCACCAAGUGUUACAGCAAGGGGGCUUGUGGGAGGGGAGCGUUCUGCAGAGGGAGAAGCUGUAAGGAAGGUGGUAAGGUUAUCUACCUCUAGGAUAUCACCUUCUGUAGAAUAUCCAAACAGAAGCUUCUGGGCUUCAAUGCUGCCUGAAGAGUAGAUAUAGACCUUCAUCCCCGCUUCCCGCCACUUCCGGAUGGCUGGAACCACAUCCUCAAAGAUUCUGGAGCAAAACAGGAUGGCAGAGUGCUGGGAAAGGAAGGUACUGGUCUAGCAAUGGGCUGACAAGCCUCAAAAUGUGAGCUCCAUCUAACUCUGGGGAGUAGCCAACUGAAGACAAGCCCAGCCACAGGAGCAAAGCUGUAAGAGAAGGAAGGAGGACUAAAGCCAAGGCAACUGCUAAUGGACAUGUCUGUUGUUGCUUCUCAUUUAUACCACGAGAUCUCUCCAGUGCCCCACGCACGUGUAAGUAAAAGUUCUUUGUGUGGACAUUUUGAAGAUGACCCAUGCACCGGGGGAAACUGAAGGCUAGAGGAUGCCCAGGAGGGACAAAGUGAGGCUGACAGUAAGUGCCUCAAUAAUACGUGGGAUGGUUGGUAAGGAAAGGCCACAAAGCCUCACAGAGGUAGGGAAAGGAUCUCAGUCUGAUGUGGUAGAAGGUUGGAGAGAGGAGCUGGAGGAGAUGUGAUCUCAAGGGAAUGAUCCCAGUCCAAACUGCAGCCUUCCCACCUGCGAUGCACACCUUUGUGUGGCCACCUGGGCCAAGGCCCAAAGGUACUGAAAAGGGAAUCUGGAUGCCUAAAGAAAGAGGACUCACAUGCAGAAGGAGGUGUUGGACUAAAUUUUGCAGAUUUGCAGCAAUCAGCUGGCCCCUUCUUCAUCUCUAGCUUCUUUUCACUUUUUUCCACGGUUAUUUAAUAAUGUCUCUGGUGUCAGCUGAAAAUAUUUUGAGGUUGUAUGGCAGAAACUCCCAGCCAUCCUUGUGUUUUCAUGUGCUAAGUUCAGGGCCUGGAUCUCAGACACUAAUGUGCCAGAUAUAGCUGGGCAAGGAGGAGACUUUAGAGACUUCCCUCCUUAGAUGAGGCCAAGCACAAGGCUUUCCACACAGUUUUUGGGUCACUAUAAGACAAUUAGCUUUGUCUUAUAAACAAAAUCAACAGGAUGUCUGUCUCUUUUCACUUGUUUUUGGGUUUUGUUACUUUCUCUGGUGGAUGUUUACAUUUUUCGGUGAGCUCAUUUUCUUCUUCCUCUUUCUUCCUUUGACAAAACACUCUGAAUUUUAGGGCUUCUUUUACUUACUUAGAAAUUUGAAAUGCAUAGUUUAACCAAGUAUUUCUUAGCCUAAAUAAGAAGAUCAAGCUUAGCUGCAGUUGUCCCUACUUAUGCACUCUUGUGUUGUGGCUGGAACAUAAAGAAGGACCUGAAGACAAAAAGAAGUGGAAAGGCAGGAAACACACAGGUAAAAGACAAACCAGGAGGAAAUGACUGAAAGGACUUGACCCUGCAACCCUGGCUUGUUUAUAUU